rnacentral:rRNA from 1 species
UGGGCGCAAGCCUGAUGCAGCGACGCCGCGUGAGGGAUGAAGGCCUUCGGGUUGUAAACCUCUUUCAGUAGGGAAGAAGCCGGCUUUUUGGGUUGGUGACGGUACCUGCAGAAGAAGCGCCGGCUAACUACGUGCCAGCAGCCGCGGUAAUACGUAGGGCGCAAGCGUUAUCCGGAAUUAUUGGGCGUAAAGAGCUCGUAGGCGGUUUGUCGCGUCUGCCGUGAAAGUCCGGGGCUUAACCCCGGAUCUGCGGUGGGUACGGGCAGACUAGAGUGCAGUAGGGGAGACUGGAAUUCCUGGUGUAGCGGUGAAAUGCGCAGAUAUCAGGAGGAACACCGAUGGCGAAGGCAGGUCUCUGGGCUGUAACUGACGCUGAGGAGCGAAAGCAUGGGGAGCGAACAGGAUUAGAUACCCUGGUAGUCCAUGCCGUAAACGUUGGGCACUAGGUGUGGGGGACAUUCCACGUUUUCCGCGCCGUAGCUAACGCAUUAAGUGCCCCGCCUGGGGAGUACGGCCGCAAGGCUAAAACUCAAAGGAAUUGACGGGGGCCCGCACAAGCGGCGGAGCAUGCGGAUUAAUUCGAUGCAA